GGACUCAGCCCGCCUGCACCCAGGUGAAAUUAACAGCCAUGUUGCUCAUACAAAGCCUGUUUGGUGGUCUCUUCACACGGACGCGCGUGACAGCAGCUAACUCCUUUCUGGAGUUUGAGUUUUUUCCUGCUUCUGGGAUAGUAGAGAGCAGUCUUCCACCUGAGACCCAUUCCUAGCCUGCUUUAAGUCUGCUGUUACUUUUCCACUGAGAUAAAAUCCACUGUUUGCAUCCAACCAUCUCUUUUUGCUAUUGUUUGCAAACUGGAAACCAAAAUUAUGGUAUUCUCAAAACCAGAGAUGCCAACCUCUCUUAUUUGGCAUCCUGUUAACCAGUGGAAGAGAUCCAAGUUACCGGCGGCAAAUCUGUACAGGUCCACAGCAACUUGAGUCCUUGCUUCUUCACAAGAAAGAAUCUGACUGAGGGGCAUAAAGCAGAAAAAGAGACCAAGGCAAGUUCCAGAGCAGGAAUGGAAGUUUAUUUGAAAAGGUCUUAGAACAGGAAAGCAAGUGUGCUUGGAAGAGACCCAAGUGGGCACAUGAAGGUUAAAGAGAAAAGGUCAAGUGCCCUGUUCAACCGUGAUCCUAGGAAUUUUAUAAGCUCGCCUCUUUCCCAUGUUUCUUCCUUUAGAGCGGGCUUUCCACUUGCCCAGUGCUUUCCUUAUCCUUUGGAAAUGAACACACGCAAUGUAUUUAGGGAGUUAUAAGCACACCCAUCUGAGGCUUCCUUCCCUUUUCCGGUGAAGUGUGCCCCCCGGAAGAUCAUACCUCACCAAUUUUUUUUUUUUUUUGGUCUCAACAUGCAUGCCCAGGAAGUUGCUCCUCCGUGGGGCCUGCAUUCAAUUAACAUUUUGAUGAUGUUAACAGGUGUGGACCAUCAGGACCAUCAGCCUCUCCCUGGUGCUGCCGAAUUAUCAUUUUUAGACAGGCAAUGCGAUAAUUGCUGAACCAUCUACCCGACAUUCUAGUUGUUAGAGGAGAGCUCUCUCUGCUGCCCAGCUCAUGUCUAACCACCUGUAACAAUCCCACUGAGCCCAAUCUGUUUUUCACUGCAAAUGCCUUACUACUAAGACCAUAUAAGCACCCUCCCUCUAGGCCCAGGGACUGUUACAUGAGAGUGUAAGGGCAAGUUUUGAGGGAUACAAUUAGGUCAAGGUCAGACCCUCCAAAUCAAGGAUAUGUACAAAGAUGCCUGAACAGCUGGUAAAAGAAGAAAAUAAUUACUGACAGGAUAACGAUACCUUACGACAAAGCCUCCUGGGUAUGAGUUGUACAGAUAUACAUAUUUUUUUAAAU